AUUGAACGCUGGCGGAAUGCUUUACACAUGCAAGUCGAACGGCAGCACGGACUUCGGUCUGGUGGCGAGUGGCGAACGGGUGAGUAAUGUAUCGGAACGUGCCCAGUCGUGGGGGAUAACGUAGUGAAAAUUACGCUAAUACCGCAUACGAUCUACGGAUGAAAGCGGGGGAUCGCAAGACCUCGCGCGAUUGGAGCGGCCGAUAUCAGAUUAGGUAGUUGGUGGGGUAAAGGCCCACCAAGCCAACGAUCUGUAGCUGGUCUGAGAGGACGACCAGCCACACUGGAACGGGGACACGGUCCAGACUCCUACGGGAGGCAGCAGUGGGGAAUUUGGGACAAUGGGCGAAAGCCUGAUCCAGCCAUUCCGCGUGCAGGAUGAAGGCCCUCGGGUUGUAAACUGCUUUUGUACAGAACGAAAAGGUUUCUACUAAUACUAGGAGCUCAUGACGGUACUGUAAGAAUAAGCACCGGCUAACUACGUGCCAGCCGCCGCCGCAG
rnacentral:rRNA from 1 species